AAAGGCGCUUUCGGGUGUCGCUGAUGGAUGGACCCGCGGUGCAUUAGCUAGUUGGUGAGGUAACGGCUCACCAAGGCCACGAUGCAUAGCCGACCUGAGAGGGUGAUCGGCCACAUUGGGACUGAGACACGGCCCAAACUCCUACGGGAGGCAGCAGUAGGGAAUCUUCGGCAAUGGACGAAAGUCUGACCGAGCAACGCCGCGUGAGUGAAGAAGGUUUUCGGAUCGUAAAACUCUGUUGUUAGAGAAGAACAAGGAUGAGAGUAACUGUUCAUCCCUUGACGGUAUCUAACCAGAAAGCCACGGCUAACUACGUGCCAGCAGCCGCGGUAAUACGUAGGUGGCAAGCGUUGUCCGGAUUUAUUGGGCGUAAAGCGAGCGCAGGCGGUUUCUUAAGUCUGAUGUGAAAGCCCCCGGCUCAACCGGGGAGGGUCAUUGGAAACUGGGAGACUUGAGUGCAGAAGAGGAGAGUGGAAUUCCAUGUGUAGCGGUGAAAUGCGUAGAUAUAUGGAGGAACACCAGUGGCGAAGGCGGCUCUCUGGUCUGUAACUGACGCUGAGGCUCGAAAGCGUGGGGAGCAAACAGGAUUAGAUACCCUGGUAGUCCACGCCGUAAACGAUGAGUGCUAAGUGUUGGAGGGUUUCCGCCCUUCAGUGCUGCAGCUAACGCAUUAAGCACUCCGCCUGGGGAGUACGACCGCAAGGUUGAAACUCAAAGGAAUUGACGGGGGCCCGCACAAGCGGUGGAGCAUGUGGUUUAAUUCGAAGCAACGCGAAGAACCUUACCAGGUCUUGACAUCCUUUGACCACUCUAGAGAUAGAGCUUCCCCUUCGGGGGCAAAGUGACAGGUGGUGCAUGGUUGUCGUCAGCUCGUGUCGUGAGAUGUUGGGUUAAGUCCCGCAACGAGCGCAACCCUUAUUGUUAGUUGCCAUCAUUCAGUUGGGCACUCUAGCAAGACUGCCGGUGACAAACCGGAGGAAGGUGGGGAUGACGUCAAAUCAUCAUGCCCCUUAUGACCUGGGCUACACACGUGCUACAAUGGGAAGUACAACGAGUUGCGAAGUCGCGAGGCUAAGCUAAUCUCUUAAAGCUUCUCUCAGUUCGGAUUGCAGGCUGCAACUCGCCUGCAUGAAGCCGGAAUCGCUAGUAAUCGCGGAUCAGCACGCCGCGGUGAAUACGUUCCCGGGCCUUGUACACACCGCCCGUCACACCACGAGAGUUUGUAACACCCGAAGUCGGUGAGGUAACCUUUUGGAGCCAGUCGCCUAAGGUGGGAUAGAUGAUUGGGGUGAAGUCGUAACAAGGUAGCCGUAUCGGAAGGUGCGGCUGGAUCACCUCCUUU
rnacentral:rRNA from 1 species